rnacentral:rRNA from 1 species
AGCAGCCGCGGUAAUUCCAGCUCCAAUAGCGUAUAUUAAAGUUGUUGCAGUUAAAAAGCUCGUAGUUGAAUUUCGGGAUCAAAUUGUCGGUCGUGCCUCGGUACGUACUGGCGUUAUUGGUUCCUCCCUUCUGAAGAACCGCGAUGUCAUUAAUUUGGUGUCGCGGGGAAUCAGGACUGUUACUUUGAAAAAAUUAGAGUGUUUAAAGCAGGCUCGCGCUUGAAUACAUUAGCAUGGAAUAAUGAAAUAGGACGUUUGAUUCUAUUUUGUUGGUUUCUAGGAUCGACGUAAUGAUUAAUAGGGAUAGUUGGGGGCAUUAGUAUUCAAUUGUCAGAGGUGAAAUUCUUGGAUUUAUUGAAGACUAACUACUGCGAAAGCAUUUGCCAAGGAUGUUUUCAUUAAUCAAGAACGAAAGUUAGGGGAUCGAAGACGAUCAGAUACCGUCGUAGUCUUAACCAUAAACUAUGCCGACUAGGGAUCGGAUGA